GAGUUUGAUCGUGGCUCAGAUUGAACGCUGGCGGCAUGCCUUACACAUGCAAGUCGAACGGUAACAGGUCUUCGGAUGCUGACGAGUGGCGAACGGGUGAGUAAUACAUCGGAACGUGCCCGAUCGUGGGGGAUAACGGAGCGAAAGCUUUGCUAAUACCGCAUACGAUCUACGGAUGAAAGCAGGGGACCGCAAGGCCUUGCGCGGACGGAGCGGCCGAUGGCAGAUUAGGUAGUUGGUGGGAUAAAAGCUUACCAAGCCGACGAUCUGUAGCUGGUCUGAGAGGACGACCAGCCACACUGGGACUGAGACACGGCCCAGACUCCUACGGGAGGCAGCAGUCGGGAAUUUUGGGCAAUGGGGGAAACCCUGACCCAGCAACGCCGCGUGAAGGAUGAAGUAUUUCGGUAUGUAAACUUCGAAAGAAUGGGAAGAAUAAAUGACGGUACCAUUUAUAAGGUCCGGCUAACUACGUGCCAGCCGCCGCGGUAAG
rnacentral:rRNA from 1 species